rnacentral:rRNA from 1 species
CAGUCGCCGCGGAAUACGGAGGGUGCAAGCGUUAUCCGGAUUUAUUGGGUUUAAAGGGUCCGUAGGCGGACUUAUAAGUCAGUGGUGAAAGCCUGUCGCUUAACGAUAGAACUGCCAUUGAUACUGUAAGUCUUGAGUAUAUUUGAGGUAGCUGGAAUAAGUAGUGUAGCGGUGAAAUGCAUAGAUAUUACUUAGAACACCAAUUGCGAAGGCAGGUUACCAAGAUAUAACUGACGCUGAGGGACGAAAGCGUGGGUAGCGAACAGGAUUAGAUACCCCAGUAGUCCCUGUCUCUUAUACA